GAUGAACGCUGGCGGCGUGCCUAAUACAUGCAAGUCGAGCGAACAGACGAGGAGCUUGCUCCUCUGACGUUAGCGGCGGACGGGUGAGUAACACGUGGAUAACCUACCUAUAAGACUGGGAUAACUUCGGGAAACCGGAGCUAAUACCGGAUAACAUGUUGAACCGCAUGGUUCAACAGUGAAAGACGGUUUUGCUGUCACUUAUAGAUGGAUCCGCGCCGCAUUAGCUAGUUGGUAAGGUAACGGCUUACCAAGGCAACGAUGCGUAGCCGACCUGAGAGGGUGAUCGGCCACACUGGAACUGAGACACGGUCCAGACUCCUACGGGAGGCAGCAGUAGGGAAUCUUCCGCAAUGGGCGAAAGCCUGACGGAGCAACGCCGCGUGAGUGAAGAAGGUCUUCGGAUCGUAAAACUCUGUUAUUAGGGAAGAACAAAUGUGUAAGUAACUAUGCACGUCUUGACGGUACUUAAUCAGAAAGCCACGGCUAACUACGUG
rnacentral:rRNA from 1 species